rnacentral:rRNA from 1 species
UAAAGGCCUACCAAGACAAUGAUGCAUAGCCGAGUUGAGAGACUGAUCGGCCACAUUGGGACUGAGACACGGCCCAAACUCCUACGGGAGGCUGCAGUAGGGAAUCUUCCACAAUGGGCGAAAGCCUGAUGGAGCAACGCCGCGUGUGUGAUGAAGGCUUUCGGGUCGUAAAGCACUGUUGUAUGGGAAGAAAAGUUAAGGUAGGGAAUGACCUUAGCCUGACGGUACCAUACCAGAAAGGGACGGCUAAAUACGUGCCAGCAGCCGCGGUAAUACGUAUGUCCCGAGCGUUAUCCGGAUUUAUUGGGCGUAAAGCGAGCGCAGACGGUUGGUUAAGUCUGAUGUGAAAGCCCGGAGCUCAACUCCGGAAAGGCAUUGGAAACUGGUUAACUUGAGUGCAGUAGAGGUAAGUGGAACUCCAUGUGUAGCGGUGGAAUGCGUAGAUAUAUGGAAGAACACCAGCGGCGAAGGCGGCUUACUGGACUGUAACUGACGUUGAGGCUCGAAAGUGUGGGUAGCAAACAGGAUUAGAUACCCUGGUAGUCCACACCGUAAACGAUGAACACUAGGUGUUAGGAGGUUUCCGCCUCUUAGUGCCGAAGCUAACGCAUUAAGUGUUCCGCCUGGGGAGUACGACCGCAAGGUUGAAACUCAAAGGAAUUGACGGGGACCCGCACAAGCGGUGGAGCAUGUGGUUUAAUUCGAAGCAACGCGAAGAACCUUACCAGGUCUUGACAUCCUUUGAAGCUUUUAGAAAUAGAAGUGUUCUCUUCGGAGACAAAGUGACAGGUGGUGCAUGGUCGUCGUCAGCUCGUGUCGUGAGAUGUUGGGUUAAGUCCCGCAACGAGCGCAACCCUUAUUGUUAGUUGCCAGCAUUCAGAUGGGCACUCUAGCGAGACUGCCGGUGACAAACCGGAGGAAGGCGGGGACGACGUCAGAUCAUCAUGCCCCUUAUGACCUGGGCUACACACGUGCUACAAUGGCGUAUACAACGAGUUGCCAACCUGCGAAGGUGAGCUAAUCUCUUAAAGUACGUCUCAGUUCGGACUGCAGUCUGCAACUCGACUGCACGAAGUCGGAAUCGCUAGUAAUCGCGGAUCAGCACGCCGCGGUGAAUACGUUCCCGGGUCUUGUACACACCGCCCGUCACACCAUGGAAGUUUGUAAUGCCCAAAGCCGGUGGCCUAACCGUAAGGAGGGAACC